GGGUCUCCAGCGGCGUCCUUCAGGGUGCCUGACGGGGUCUCCAGCGGUGUCCUUCAGGGUGCCUGACGGGGUCUCCAGCGGUGUCCUUCAGGGUGCCUGACGGGGUCUCCAGUGGCUUCCUUCAGGGUGCCUGACGUGGUCUCCGGCGGCGUCCUUCAGGGUGCCUGACGGGGUCUCCAGCGGCGAUGAGGAGGUUGACUACGGACUUCUACGCAGACCUGUACGGUGGCAGCAACACUGAUCCACAGUGUGCUCAGCAGAUUCUACAGGGGAUGCCUAAGCUCGGGCCUGAGCAGAUUGCUGGGCUGGAGGGUGAUUUUUCAUCUCAGGAACUAACAGUGGCUGUGCAGCAGCUCUCCCCAGGCCGUGCGCCAGGGGUCGAUGGACUGACAGCUGAGUUUUAUAAAUGUUUCUGGGGUGUAUUGGGGAGGGACCUCUUAGAUGUCUUUCGGGAGUCCUUUGAGCGCUCAGUACUACCAGUCAGCUGCCAGCGGGCAGGGCUGUCACUACUGCUGAAGAAGGGGGACCUAGCUCUAUUGAGUAACGAGGCCAGUAUCGUUGCUCUGCUUGGAUUACAAAAUACUGUUGAAGUGUUUGGCAAAUCGGCUGAAAGGUUGUUUGGACAAAAUAGUUUACAGGACCAGGCAUACUCUGGACAACUUGUUUCUUUGAGAGAUGUGAUAGACAUCACUAGGAUGUAUGAUCAGGACUUGAGCCGGCCAGUCCCAGUUAGGACAGGGAUUAGGCAGGUUAGGCAGGAGCCAGAGAACCACUGCUGUAUAGGCUGAGGGAGAUGCUGCAGGGGAUGUCAGUCCCAGUUAGGACAGG
ensembl:lncRNA